rnacentral:misc_RNA from 1 species
GUAGGUGAACCUGCGGAAGGAUCAUUAACUCAAUAUAUGUGCAGUCACUUCGGUGGCUGUGCAUCAUAUUAACAAAAACCAAAAUUAACAAUCCGUGAACUAUAAACAAACAAAAUGAAUGGGUUCGCGUGUCAUUACUUCUUGAAUGCACGUACUCAGCCAAUACCAAUUCCACAUUAUUUUAACCAUAUUAACCCAUUACUGUAGCGAUCUUCGUCACAAUUCCAUUUCGGUGGUUUGUGCUUGGAGCGUACUAAAACAAGAGCAUGUUAUUACUUAAUUGAAUGCAUGCACCAAUUUAUUCUAAAACAGAGAAAUACAACUCUUAACAAUGGAUAUCUUGGCUCUC